AUGGCCAUGGACUUGUUCCCCGUUGUUUCCGGCCUUGUCAUUUCAUGCAGCAUCAUCGCCAUCAAAGCGACACGGCUACUGGGCUACGCUUUCUCACCCUUCAAGCUCCUCCUGCUCUGCGUGGGCAUGGUGGCUGUGGUGGGGGCGGUAGUGAACCGCCCACGAGCGGUGUACCUCGUGGAUUACGCUUGCUUCCUUCCCAGUCCCACCUCGCGUUUCCCCAACGCAACCUUCAUCGAGCAUGCUCGCCUCGUGCCGGCGUUCGCGGACGAUCGCACUAUCCGCUUCAUGACGCGCGUGCUCAGCAGCAGCGGUAUCGGCGACGAGACUAGCCUGCCCCCCGGCGACCACUUCAUCCCGCCAGACAACAACUUGGACAUGGCGCGCGACGAAGCUGAGCUAAUCAUCUUCUCUGCCAUCGAUGAACUGUUGGCCAAGUCCGGUGUCACCCCUGACGCCAUCGACAUCGUCGUCGUCAACUGCAGCGUCUUCGCCCCCGUGCCGUCCCUCACCGACAUGAUCAUCAACAGAUACGCGCUCCGCAGCGACGUCCGCAGCAUAAAUGUUUCUGGGAUGGGGUGUAGCGCCGGAGUGAUCUCGGUGGGACUCGCGGCUAGCCUUCUUCGUGUGUUGCCCCACGCCCACGGUGCUGCGCACGCUCUCGUCGUGUCCACGGAGACCAUCACGCCCAACCUGUACGUCGGCAAGGAGCGCGCCAUGCUACUGUCCAACUUGCUCUUCCGGGUGGGUGGCGCCGCCGCGCUGCUGUCCACAUCCAAGGACAAGGCGCGGUUUCGCCUCGCCCACCUCGUGCGAACCAUCACCGGCGGCGGACAAGACAGCUCCUACCGGUGCAUCUUCCAAGAGGAGGACGCGGAUGGUAACGUAGGGGUCAUCCUUUCCAAGGACCUGAUGUCGGUGGCCGGCGACGCGCUCAAGGCCAACAUCACAGCCCUUGGCCCGCUCGUGCUCCCCUUCUUCGAGCAGCUGCGCUUCGUCGCCAACAAGCUGGUGCUCGAGCUUGCCCGGCGAGCCGGCGUGAAGCCUUACCUCCCUGACUUCCGCAAGGCCUCACUGCGCUUCGUCGGCGUGAAGCCGUACGUCCCUGACUUUCAGAAGGCGUUCCAGCACGUGUGCAUCCACGCCGGGGGGCGUGCAGUCGUCGACAAGGUCCAGUCGAGCCUCGGGUUGUCGGACGAGCAUGUGGAGCCAUCUCGCAUGACGCUUCACCGGUUCGGGAACACGUCCAGCAGCUCGGUGUGGUACGAGAUGGCAUACGUCGAGGCCAAGGGCCGAUUGCGGAAGGGCGACCGUGUCUGGAUGGUUGGGCUCGGAGCGGGGGUCAAGUGCAACAGCGCCGUCUGGGAAUGCAUCCGUCCCGCAGCCGAGCCAGACAAGGCGUGGGCCGGAUGCAUACGUCGCUACCCAGUAAACAUUCCUGGUCUCAACGUCAAUGCGGCAGCUCAAAAUGACCCCAUAAUUGCAGUGUAG
rnacentral:rRNA from 1 species